rnacentral:tRNA from 1 species
CCUUUCCAAAAUAACUUAUACACAACCCAGACAUACCUAAUAAUAUAAAACACUAUCUCACACGGCAUAUAUUCGCAUAUAUCUUCAUACUAUUAUAUUAUAUUAUAUUAUAUUAUAUUAUAUUAUAUUAUAUUAUAUUAUAUUAUAUUAUAUUAUAUUAUAUUAUAUUAUAUUAUAUUAUAUUAUAUUAUAUUAUAUUAUAUUAUAUUAUAUUAUAUUAUAUUAUAUUAUAUUAUAUUAUAUUAUAUUAUAUUAUAUUAUAUUAUAUUAUAUUAUAUUAUAUUAUAUUAUAUUAUAUUAUAUUAUAUUAUAUUAUAUUAUAUUAUAUUAUAUUAUAUUAUAUUAUAUUAUAUUAUAUUAUAUUAUAUUAUAUUAUAUUAUAUUAUAUAUUACUCCACACGCCAAUGUAGCUUAAAUAAAGCAUGACACUGAAGAUGUC